GACGAACGCUGGCGGCGUGCUUAACACAUGCAAGUCGAACGGAAAGGCCCUGCUUUUGUGGGGUGCUCGAGUGGCGAACGGGUGAGUAACACGUGAGUAACCUUCCCUUGACUUUGGGAUAACUUCAGGAAACUGGGGCUAAUACCGGAUAGGAGCUCCUGCUGCAUGGGGGGGGUUGGAAAGUUUCGGCGGUUGGGGAUGGACUCGCGGCUUAUCAGCUUGUUGGUGGGGUAGUGGCUUACCAAGGCUUUGACGGGUAGCCGGCCUGAGAGGGUGAACGGGCACAUUAGGACUGAGAUACGGACCAGACUGCUACGGGAGGCAGCAGUGGGGAGUAUUACACAAUGGGCGGAAGCCUGAUGAGGCGACGCCGCGUGCGGAAUGACGGCCUUCGGGUUGUAAACCGCUUUCGCCUGUGACGAAGCGUGAGUGACGGUAAUGGGUAAAGAAGCACCGGCUAACUACGUG
rnacentral:rRNA from 1 species